AACGAACGCUGGCGGCAGGCUUAACACAUGCAAGUCGAACGCAUGCCUUCGGGCAUGAGUGGCAGACGGGUGAGUAACGCGUGGGAACCUACCCCUUGGUACGGGAUAGCUCCGGGAAACUGGAGAUAAUACCGUAUGUGUCCUGAGGGACAAAGAUUCAUCGCCAAGGGAUGGGCCCGCGUCGGAUUAGCUAGGUGGUGGGGUAACGGCCUACCAAGGCGACGAUCCGUAGCUGGUCUAAGAGGAUGAUCCGCCACAUUGGGACUGAGACACGGCCCAAACUCCUACGGGAGGCAGCAGUGGGGAAUAUUGGACAAUGGGCGCAAGCCUGAUCCAGCCAUGCCGCGUGAGUGAUGAAGGCCCUAGGGUUGUAAAGCUCUUUCACCGGUGACGAUAAUGACGGUAACCGGAGAAGAAGCCCCGGCUAACUUCGUG
rnacentral:rRNA from 1 species